AUUGAACGCUGGCGGCAUGCCUUACACAUGCAAGUCGAACGGCAGCACGGGUGCUUGCACCUGGUGGCGCGUGGCGAACGGGUGAGUAAUACAUCGGAACGUACCUUAUCGUGGGGGAUAACGCAGCGAAAGUUGCGCUAAUACCGCAUCCGCCCUGAGGGGGAAAGGGGGGGACCGUAAGACCUCGCGCGAUUAGCGCGCCCGAUGUCUGAUUAGCUUGUUGGUGAGGUAAAAGCUCACCAAGGCGAUGAUCAGUAGCUGGUCUGAGAGGACGAUCAGCCACACUGGGACUGAGACACGGCCCAGACUCCUACGGGAGGCUGCAGUGGGGAAUUUUGGACAAUGGGGGCAACCCUGAUCCAGCAAUGCCGCGUGAGUGAAGAAGGCCUUCGGGUUGUAAAGCUCUUUUGUCAGGGAAGAAACAGCAGCUCUAACACAGUCUGCGAAUGACGGGACCUGAAGAAUAAGCACCGGCUAACUACGUGCCAGCCGCCGCGGUAA
rnacentral:rRNA from 1 species